GCUUAACACAUGCAAGUCGAGGGGCAGCAUGGUCUUAGCUUGCUAAGGCCGAUGGCGACCGGCGCACGGGUGAGUAACACGUAUCCAACCUGCCGUCUACUCUUGGACAGCCUUCUGAAAGGAAGAUUAAUACAAGAUGGCAUCAUGAGUCCGCAUGUUCACAUGAUUAAAGGUAUUCCGGUAGACGAUGGGGAUGCGUUCCAUUAGAUAGUAGGCGGGGUAACGGCCCACCUAGUCUUCGAUGGAUAGGGGUUCUGAGAGGAAGGUCCCCCACAUUGGAACUGAGACACGGUCCAAACUCCUACGGGAGGCAGCAGUGAGGAAUAUUGGUCAAUGGGCGAGAGCCUGAACCAGCCAAGUAGCGUGAAGGAUGACUGCCCUAUGGGUUGUAAACUUCUUUUAUAAAGGAAUAAAGUCGGGUAUGCAUACCCGUUUGCAUGUACUUUAUGAAUAAGGAUCGGCUAACUCCGUGCCAGCAGCCGCGGUAAUACGGAGGAUCCGAGCGUUAUCCGGAUUUAUUGGGUUUAAAGGGAGCGUAGAUGGAUGUUUAAGUCAGUUGUGAAAGUUUGCGGCUCAACCGUAAAAUUGCAGUUGAUACUGGAUAUCUUGAGUGCAGUUGAGGCAGGCGGAAUUCGUGGUGUAGCGGUGAAAUGCUUAGAUAUCACGAAGAACUCCGAUUGCGAAGGCAGCCUGCUAAGCUGCAACUGACAUUGAGGCUCGAAAGUGUGGGUAUCAAACAGGAUUAGAUACCCUGGUAGUCCACACGGUAAACGAUGAAUACUCGCUGUUUGCGAUAUACAGCAAGCGGCCAAGCGAAAGCGUUAAGUAUUCCACCUGGGGAGUACGCCGGCAACGGUGAAACUCAAAGGAAUUGACGGGGGCCCGCACAAGCGGAGGAACAUGUGGUUUAGUUCGAUGAUACGCGAGGAACCUUACCCGGGCUUAAAUUGCAGAUGAAUUACGGUGAAAGCCGUAAGCCGCAAGGCAUCUGUGAAGGUGCUGCAUGGUUGUCGUCAGCUCGUGCCGUGAGGUGUCGGCUUAAGUGCCAUAACGAGCGCAACCCUUGUUGUCAGUUACUAACAGGUUCCGCUGAGGACUCUGACAAGACUGCCAUCGUAAGAUGUGAGGAAGGUGGGGAUGACGUCAAAUCAGCACGGCCCUUACGUCCGGGGCUACACACGUGUUACAAUGGGGGGUACAGAGGGCCGCUACCACGCGAGUGGAUGCCAAUCCCAAAAACCUCUCUCAGUUCGGACUGGAGUCUGCAACCCGACUCCACGAAGCUGGAUUCGCUAGUAAUCGCGCAUCAGCCACGGCGCGGUGAAUACGUUCCCGGGCCUUGUACACACCGCCCGUCAAGCCAUGGGAGCCGGGGGUACCUGAAGUGCGUAACCGCGAGGAGCGCCCUAGGGUAAAACUGGUGACUGGGGC
rnacentral:rRNA from 1 species